GGUAUCUGUCUCUCACUCAUCGCUGCAGUCGGACGCCGGGACCUCCUCUUACCAUAUCAUUAUUUAUUGAUAUUAUUUAUAUCAGUAUUAUAGUUUAUUUCUUUGACAUUAGUGUGACAGGGGGAUAGGAAGGGAAAUAGGGAAACAGAUAGAGAGAUCUUCUGGAGAUAGCGACAGCAAGGGAAGGCCUGUGUGGAGAGUCCCAGGGCUCCGAGGGGCGGCCCGUUGGUUCAGGGGAGCAGGAGCCCAUGCCCCACCCCACAGGACAUCACCCUGACGGCCCUGCUGACCCAGAGCCCCUCCCCACCAGCGCCACCC
ensembl:lncRNA